UGAACCGUCCACACCAGGCGGAUCCAAAGUCUCUCGCUCACCUCUCGGCAGACCAACCCAAACCCUAGCAGCCCGCGGUCGCGUAUCUCACCCCUCUCCCAGGUCCAGAUCGACGACGACGUCCCUCCAUCGCCGCCCCCUCCUUCCCCGCUCCCACCCCGCCGGCGCUCUCACCCACCCAUCGGCGGCCUCGCUCCCAAAAUCCGCUCGUCGAUGCCCCACCACCAUGCCCCCUCCCCUCACCCGCCCCACCUUCUCUCCCUACCUAACCAGAUCGAGCCGGCCAGGCGGCAGCGGCCAUGGUUUUGGCUUCUCUCCGGGCGGAUUCCUCCCUCCCCUCGUCGUCUUCAUACGAGGAUGGACGCCCUACCUGCCGAUGCUCCCCCAUAUAUACCCCGCUCCUCCAGCCCCACACCACCUGCCGUCGCCGUCGCCGCCGACAAGCCCCUCCUCCGCGUCGCCGACCACCACCCGAGAUCCGCCCUUCCCCGAUGACCAUGCCGGUGGCGCAGGACCCCGUCGGCGCGGGCGCGGACGCCGCCUCGUCCCGCCGCAACCGCCGCCGCCACAAGAAGUCCUCCUCCGCCAACGCCAACGCCGCUGCUUCCGCGGUCCCUGUCCCCGCCCCGGCCCCGGCGCCGCCCACGCCGAUGCAGCGCCUCUUCGACACCAGCCGCGAGGUCUUCACCGGAUCCGCCCCCGGCUUCGUUCCCCCGCCGAUGCCGUCGUCCGCCUCUCCGCAAUCCUCAUUGAAAGAGUUCAUUCUGGGCAGCCGGAGGCGUACGAGUUCAAGAUCGGCGACAAGUUUUUUCGGAGGUCCGGAGACCCACCCCUGGACCAAGUUAUCGAGAUGCUACAGAAGCACAAGGAUAAGUCUCAAGAUGAAAUCUAGCUAGCUGGCUACAGUAUGCCUUAUGCUCUUGUUGAUUUAUUUCUUUUGCGCUCUUUUGCAGUUCUAAUUGAUGAGUGAGUGAUCUGGUAGCAGCUAGCUAACUGCCUCUAGAUUGUAACCCUGUUAUGGGAUGUGUGGUUGCGCAUGCGUUCUGCAUUGUCAAAUGUGUUCUCUGUUGUCACACAUCGUAUGCGAUGUUGUUCAUAGUUUUAUAUUUGUUGUCAUGCGAUGCGGUCACUGAAUUGCUCAAAUUUGCUGGCCAAGUACUAUGUAGUGCUGUUCUAUGCUAGGCCACCAGGCUAGGUAACUUCUGUAUCAAAAUCAUGGGUUCUAAUCUUUACUAUUAUCUGCCAUGGAUCAGCGAUGAUGCGUCACAGGUAGUAGUAGUAGAGUCGGACUUGGUGCUGCAUUACCCAGUUAUUAGCUCCUCGAUCUGUUCCUCACAGCAUGGGGUCAGCACUUUACCUCAACUUGUCUGCAUUUUCUCUCGCACACUAGACUUGCUCAUCCAUAACAUAAUGGCAGUGCGUGAGUGAGUCCUGUAGGUAUGUUUGUUUUUGGGCUGGUUGUAGAUGGCUUUGUAUGUUAUGGUAGUGUGCUUGCUCUCCCUGCUCUGCUUUCUCUUGGAGAAGAGAAGAGCAGGGUAAGUAAAACAAACAACACUUGUUUGCAGCUAAUGCGUACAAACACACUAGCAGCUCUCUUUUAAUGAAAUUCUUCAAUCUUUCCAAUUCUGAUGAUUUUUUAACUGUAUAUUUCAGAAAUCCAAGGGCAGUAGUAUUUCAUAAGAAGUGGUGUGUGACAACACGUCCGAUGCUUCGGUCCUGAAGCUCUUUGGGAAGACAGUUGUUGUGAACAAAUCACAUCAGCUGCCAAGCCGACGGUGGUGAGGACACCGAGUUCGUCAAGGAGGAGCAGGGAUGGCGCAGGCGAUGGAGGAGUGGUACCAGCAGAUGCCCAUCAUCACGCGCUCCUACCUCAUCGCCGCCGUCCUCACCACCGUCGGCUGCACCCUCGAGAUCAUCUUGCCGUACCACCUGUACCUGAACCCCAAGCUGGUGGUGCAGCACUACCGGAUCUGGCGCCUUGUCACCAACUUCCUCUACUUCCACAAGAUGGGUGCCGAUGAGUAGAGGCUGGUUGAAUCCUUGAUGUCCUACAUUGCCGGAAACCCUAGAAUGUCCGACACUGAAUUCGUCAAGCUCAAGCUCACACUCAAGCGACUAUUGCUGGUGUGCUGAAAGUUGCUUAGAGCUCAUGUAGAUCAGUAUGAACCAAGAUUUGAGAUUUGGAAGCUGGGAAGCUGGGGAAUGUGAAGUUUGAAGAGACCUGGAGUAUCUAGACUGAUUGCCAUUUGUAUAUGUGUUAUAUGAUGAUGUAACACACUGAUUCUGCUAUUGUAUGAUGUAUCAAACUGAUUUUGGCUAUUAUUUGAAGUGUUACGUGUGUUCUUUGUC